GUCCCUCUGCAUAGUGGUACUCCAUUGUUCCAUGUAGUCUCCCUUGAUUAUUGCGCGCCUCGAGCAUCUGCUCAUUUUUUAAGCUGUUUUUAAGGAAUACAAAAUGGAAACUGGUACCGUUAAGUGGUUCAACGACGCUAAGGGCUUCGGCUUCAUCACCCCGGACAAUGGCGGCCCCGAUCUGUUCGCCCACUUCUCCGAAAUCAAGGCUGACGGCUUCAAGUCCCUGAGCGAAGGCCAGAAGGUUAACUUCGUCGCCGGUCAAGGCCAAAAGGGCCCCCAGGCAACCAACAUUCAGCCCCUGUAAUCCAGGUUCGCUGAACGGUUGUAAAAAAAGCCCCGCACUGCGGGGCUUUUUUCA
rnacentral:sRNA from 1 species